AAAUCCAAUAAGUCUACUCCUUUUGAAGUCAGUAGCAUUUGUGAUGGCCUUGUAGUUUAAUCUGAAUAAAUUUGAGAGUGGGGUUGUUCUUGAUGUUGGUUAUGGUGUUUGUUGGCUGCUGAAAAGAAUUGUUACAAAAGAAGGAAUUAGCAUAUAUCUGUAGAUUGUGAUAUAAGCCUCUGCAUAUACUCAGCAAAUAAGUGAACCUCUGUUUUCAACCAUGACAUUCCAUAAUCACAUUAGUAGUCAGCUGCAAUUUUCUAUUCCAUUAUGAUAUGUUUUACUGAUCUUCUGACUGGGCACGAGGGACUGAGCAGGUGAUACAGACUGUGUUGCAAAGAUGCACAGGAGUUUAAGACAUAUCCACACCAGGGCACAAAUGGUUUCCUUCUUUGAGGGCCCCUCUUGAUGAUUGCUUUUGAUUUUUGAAGGCUGCUCCUUGAUUUUAAGGGGCUACUUUUUCAUUCUGUUGACUCUUUUAUUAGGAGGUGCAUUCAGAUAGUGAUAUUAAUUUAUAAAAAGAGUGUGCUCAGUUAAAAUCAGGGUUGCAUUCCUAAAAAUUGCAACUUAUAUGAAAAAAACUUUCAAUGAAAUGUUGACUCUCAUUGGAAUCACUGUUAAAACUGGAGAUAUAGUUUGUAGGGCCUUCCUUAGCAGAAACAAAUUGACAAUAUGGAUCUUUAAAUGGCUAAAUUCUUCCAUUUAUUGAGUAAAAAUGCUAUGUUAAUUUUAAGUGUGAAUUACCCACGUAAUGCUUUAUUUGAUAUUUCAAAAUGGCAGCCAACAACAUUUCAUACGAGCAAUUCACACUUAAUAUGUUGAUGCCCAUUUUUGGAAUGAUUUUUUGCAGGCUUCAAAGGUGCACUUCUAAACCUACAUCUAAGGUAUCCCUCAUCAUUAGCAAUUCUUAGGACUCAGGUGCGGCAUUUCCUUUUUGUGGAGAGAAAUGAGAUUGUGGUUUGACAUAGUUAUUUGUUGAGGAUGUAAGUUGACAGUGUCAGUGUCCGUUUCCAAAGACAGAAAUAAGUUGGCAGGGUAUUGCAAAAACUCUGCUUUAAAUCAUGAGCUGGGGGAAGUUGCUACAUUUCAGAGUUUUAAACAAUCUUUAGGAUCUUAUACACUUAAUAAUUUAAUGUUAGAAGUGAUUAAAGCAACUCAGUUAGAAAAUCUCAAGGUUUCAAGGAGGAAUCGUUAUGAUUUUGACAAAGGAAAAUCACUUUUUUUAAUCAACUUGUUUGAGUUUGUUGAACAAGUAGUUCACCUAUGGCUAAAAGAGAUCCUGUGGACAUACUAUAUUUGGAUUUCUAAAGGGAUUUGACAAAGUGCCUCAUCUAAGGUAAUUGGGAAUUUUAGAAGUUUAUGGUGUAAUGGCUAACAUUUUGGCAUAGUUAUUGGCUGGCUGACAGAAAACAGAAUAUGCAUAAAAGUGUCUGAUUUAGUAGGAUAUGAUGAGUGAAGUCUUGCAGGGAUAUGAGCUCAUAUGUUUAGAAUUUCCACCAAUGACAUAGAUGUGGGGAAUGAAGGAUCGGUGACUAAAUUUGCAGAUGACACCAAGACAGGUAGGAAAGUAUGAAGAAGGUAGAAGGAGAUUGAGAGAGUAGGUAAUAUCUGACAGAUGCAGUAUAACAUGGGAAAAUAUGAAAUUGUUCAUUUUGGAGAAGAAGAAUUUAAAAGCAAUGUAUUAUUUAAGCAGAGAAUGACUCCAGAAUUCCAAGGUGCAGAGGGAUUUUAGUAUUCUGGCCCAUAAGUCUCAAAACGUAAAUAUGCAGGUACAGCACAUAAUCAAGAGGCUGAUGGGAUGUUGUCCUUCAUAAUGAGAGGAACUAAACAUAAAAUAAAACGCUAUGAUUCAGUUAUACAGGGAAUUGGUGAGAUGACAUCUCAGAAUUGUGUGCAAAUUUUGGUCUGCUCAUUUAAGAAGGAUGUAAAUUCAUUGGAGGCAUUUCAAAGAAGGUUUAGUAGAUCAUUACUGGGAAUGAAUAAGCUAUCUUAUGAGGAUAGGUUGGAGAGGCUGGCUCUGUUUCCACUGGAGUUAAGAAGAAUGUGAGGGGUGACUGACUGAAGAAUAUAUGAUUCUGAAUGUUCUUGACAAGGUGCACGUGAUCAGCAUGUUUCCUCUUUGGGAUUAGAAGGGGCACUGUUCUAAAAUUAGAGUUAUCCUUUCAGGGCAGAGAUGAAAUAAAUUUUCUCUGAGGGCUGUGUGACUUUGAAACUCUACCUCAGCAGGCAGUGGAAGCAGGAUCAUUUAACAUUUUUAAGUCAGAGAUGGAUAGAUUUUUGUUAGACGGGGAAUCCAGGGUUAUUUGGGGUAGACAGGAAUAUGGGAUUUGAAACACAAACAGAUCAGCCUUGAUCUUACUGAUUGUUAGAAGAGGCUUGAGGGGGAGAAUGGUUGUCUGUUCCUAUUUUGAAUGUUCAAAUGUAAUCAAGGUUUGAAAAUCAUCUUUUAAAAAAAAUGAUUUGCUGUUGUCUUGGAAGUUUGAAGUCACAUGACACCAGGUUAUAGUCUAACAUGUUUGUUUGAAAUUACCAGCUUUCGUCACGGUGCUCCUUCUUCGGGUGAAGUGUUGGAAGUUGACCUAUUGGGCUGGGAUUUUUUUUUUACACAAAAAGUCGCUCUCUGAAGAGAUUAUAUUUUCAGUGCCUAUCCCAGUUCUAUCAAAGUCUAGUCAGGUAUCUUAUUUGCUGGCUACAGUUGAGUUAUAGUCGCAUCUACUCGCUAUACUUAGUCAUUAGUUUAAUUACGAUUACUCUUUCCCUUCUGUCUUUGUACAAAAAUCUGUUUCAGUAAUAUAAAAUGUAAAAUAUCAAAAAGUCAUUUUUAUAAACUUAAUUUGCAACGACGAAAUGACCUCCUCACUCUUAAGUAUCACAAGUGCAGGCUGAUUGAAUUGUUUCCUCCAAUGUUUGUAGCAAUGUCAAGAUCACAUGGGGGAUGAUUCUUGAGUUAUUUUCCUCAUUUCCUGAUCAGGUCAGUUGGCCUUGAGAUUUUUCAAUUGCACCUUGUUGCCACAUUGUUCACCUCCUCUGAAGAUGCAGGACUAACUGUGGUGAAUUUUCUUUAUUACAAUUUGUCUUCAGUUGAUGCCUACAGGUAUCCUUGUCAUUUAGUUGUAGGGUAAGGUAAUGAUUCUGAACUUUGCUCCUGUUUGAAAUGCAUAUUUGUUUGAAAUUUUAAACUUGAUGUGGGCAGUCUUUGAUUAGGACGAUGGUGUAAAAGUGAGAUCAGAUCAGCCACCUGUUGAACACCUUUCCAGAGAUAUUAAUUUCAGAUAUAAAAAUCCGCAGGAAUGUUUAACAGGUGACUGCUCCAAUAUCAUCUGAUUUAUGGCACUAUCUAAUGUCAGAAUUUUCUCUCAGAUGUUGCAGCAAUGCUGCUUUUAAACUAGAAAUAUUGUGUACACUUUCAGUCUCCUUACUUAAGGAAGGAUGUUCUGGCUAUGGAGGGAAUGCAACAAAGCUUUACAAGACUGAUUGAUUGCAGGGAUGGUAGGACUGAUAAAUGAAAAGAGACUGGAUCAAUGAGAGCUAUAUUCACUGGAGUUUAGAAAAAUUAUGUGAGCAAAUCUCAUAGAAACCUUUAAAAUUCUAACACUACUAUAGAGGAUAAACAUAGAAAGGAUAUUUUCCAUGACUAGGGGGUCACAGCUCAAGUUUACAGCAUAGGCCAUUUAGGACUCAGAUGCAAAAUUUCUUCACCAGGAGGAGUGGUAAACCUGUGAAACACUUUGCCACAGAAAGCAAUUGAGGCUUUCAGAACAUUGAAUGUCCUCCACAAAGAAGUUAGAUGUAGUUCUUAAGGCUAAAGUGAUCAAAGGGAAUGGGAGAAAGCAUAUAAGAGUAAUGAGCUGAAUGAUCAGCCAUGAUUAUCUUGAAUGGAGGAGCAGGCUCAGAGUGUUGAAUGGCCUACUGCUGCUCUUAUUUUCUAUGUUUGUAUGUCCCAUGUUUCUAUCCUGCAUUGGGAUUUGUACAUAGUUAUGCCUAUUUGGGUAAAACACAAAAUUUCUGGCACACUGUUGUAAUCUGUCUCAUAAUAGGAAAUUUUUAGUAGUAAUUAUCAACUACAUUUCUUGACGUCCAAAAGUUAUCAUAUUUCCACAUUUUAACUUUAAAUUGCUAAACUGAAAGGUUUUGGCCGUUUGGGUUUUCUCUGAUAGUAGAAAUCUGAGGUUUUUUUUCUGGUUUCUCCAAGAAGUUAUGAUCCUAAUUGAUAUUGUUCUAGACAAGUCAAAUCCCAGACUGAAAUCCAGCUUGAGAGAUUUUUUUUUAUUUAACAAGGUUGUCAUUCACUGAAACACAAAUACACAAUGCUGCAGAUUUUAAUAAUGAAAGGCUAUUACGCAAAAGGAAAGGAAAUAAUAACAAUAUACCAAGCUAUUUAAGUUAUUGCACAAAAAUUGAAAGAUUCCGAGACACACCGUAAAAAUGCCAGAUCAUCUGUCCCAAAUCAUCAGUUUACAGGACUUGAACACCAGAUAGAGUUUGCUUUUCUAUUAUAUCGAUCAAGUCAACUGAUUUGCUACACGACUGAGCUUAGAUUUUCUCAACUUCGAAUGACCCUCAAGAUUCAUUUUUGGUCUGCAACUUUUAAACUGAAACCCUUACACUGAGGUCACCAAUUUCCUAAGAGCUUGAAAUUGUCUCCUUUCUUCAGGAGGAACUCUAUUUCACAGAUUUAACUUCCAUGACAAUCUUUGCAAACUGAACCCUAAAGCUUUCCAAGUUACAGAAUUAUCUCCUAAUAAUACGAGCAAUUCUUGAUCCUUCUAAACAGAAAGCAAGGUUAUGCUCCUCAAUGCUUACUGUUUCUGCUCAUAAAACUUUCCCAAAGCAAACAAGUUCCCAUUAUGAACCCAUGAAGUCUUUCUCAUUACACUAGUUUUUAAAAAACGUGACUCAGGAAAUACUGACAAAAUAAUUAUUAAACUACUCACCUCAUCCACCCCACACUAUACACACCAAUCAAAACUCACAUGCUAGUAGUUUAAAAUCCAAACUUUCAAACGAAUGGCUUAAAAUAUAUAAAUUGUACACCUUACAUCAUGUAGUGGAUGAUUCACCAUCUCAGAGAGUUUAUUAAGACAUAUUCAGACACUGAAAAAGAGCCACACUUGUCAUUUUCAGGUAAAACUUUGAAAAUAGCUCAGAGUUCUUAACCAAGAAUAAUUCAUUCAGGAAAGAAAAUUGCACAGCAAAUUUUAUGAUAGAUUUUUAAAAUCAGCUGACACAAAUGUAUCAAUUGAAAUAAAUUAUAGUAGUUUUGAGUGAAAAGUUUGGGAUAAUUGGACACUAGAAGGAAUAAAAUGAAAAAUUAUUAAUGCUCUAUAUAUGAAGUAACAAUAAAAGGAUAGAAAUUCCAGUUGGCGAAGUGUAUAGUACAGAUAUAAGCACACUACUUUGUAUGUUUUAUGUUGUUGCUGAUCAGUUUGAGCACGAGAUAAACAGCACACACGGGACUAUAAUAUGAGAAUAUAAUAUGAGUAAGAUGUAUUGAGUUUUUAACAAUUAAAAUUUCCACUUGAAAUUCCUAUUUAAAUUUUUAUUUACUGCUAUAUUCGUAAAUUGGUCCCUUUGCGCAACCCCCCGUAUAGUAGAAUCUCCAAAUCUAUGUUCGAUAAAAUGUAUGAAAGAAAUUUUUAAAAUAUUAGUUUCAGAGUCUGUCUUGCAAAACUGGAACUGAACAGUGUGGCCUAUCUAAGUUUUGCUAAGCGCAGCAAAACAAGAAUUUCAUAUUUUAAAAUCUAUUCCAUGUAAAAACCAGUCUUUUAGAUCUCCAUGCAACAUUACAAGAAAGGAAAACACUGUUGGUGGGAAAGACUGUUUUGGAGACAAACUUUUCAGACACUGGGUCAGCUAACUUAAGUCAACAAAAGAGCCAUUCAAGCAAUGUUCUGGCAUCAGAUGAAAAACCCAUUCCUCCCUUAAGCCAGUUUCACCAGCAAGAAGGCAAUGGUAUCCCCUCAGCUCUUGCAAGUACUCUGGAGCACAUAGUAGGACAGCUGGAUGUUCUCACUCAGACUGUGACGAUUCUUGAACAGCGACUUACAUUAACAGAAGACAAACUGCGUGAAUACUUUGACAAGCAACAGACGUCAUGAUUACAGUAAGAUCUAAGGUUUGAAAACCCGGAGCAAAAUGCGAGUGGAAUUGAAAGAUUAAUCCUCUUUUUUGACAGAUAUGCUUAAUAGACAUUAAUUCACACAAAUCACUACUCAAAGCUUUGUUAAAUAGUUGGUCUUCCUUGAGUUAGUCUGUUGCCUGAGUAUAUCUGGCCUGCCACUUUCAGUAGUGAUGUGUAUGCCGAUUUUUGUACUUUUUAUGUACUCAUUCCCUCUGUGAGAGAGUAUUUCAAAUGCAAUAAAUUGUUUUAUAUCAUACAGAAGUAGAUCCAUAUGUAUUGCUAUUUUAUACAUUCUAAUAAAAUUGUGAUAUUGAAGUUUGCAACU